rnacentral:rRNA from 1 species
UACGGAGGAUGCGAGCGUUAUCCGGAUUUAUUGGGUUUAAAGGGUGCGUAGGCGGAUUUUUAAGUCAGCGGUAAAAUGUCCGGGCUCAACCCGGGCCGGCCGUUGAAACUGGGGAUCUUGAGUGGGCGAGAAGUAUGCGGAAUGCGUGGUGUAGCGGUGAAAUGCAUAGAUAUCACGCAGAACUCCGAUUGCGAAGGCAGCUUACUAAGCCAUAACUGACACUGAAGCACGAAAGCGUGGGGAUCAAACAGG